UGGGGAAUUUUGGACAAUGGGGGAAACCCUGAUCCAGCCAUCCCGCGUGUGCGAUGAAGGCCUUCGGGUUGUAAAGCACUUUUGGCAGGAAAGAAACGUCGCGGGUUAAUACCCCGCGAAACUGACGGUACCUGCAGAAUAAGCACCGGCUAACUACGUGCCAGCAGCCGCGGUAAUACGUAGGGUGCAAGCGUUAAUCGGAAUUACUGGGCGUAAAGCGUGCGCAGGCGGUUCGGAAAGAAAGAUGUGAAAUCCCAGAGCUUAACUUUGGAACUGCAUUUUUAACUACCGGGCUAGAGUGUGUCAGAGGGAGGUGGAAUUCCGCGUGUAGCAGUGAAAUGCGUAGAUAUGCGGAGGAACACCGAUGGCGAAGGCAGCCUCCUGGGAUAACACUGACGCUCAUGCACGAAAAGCGUGGGGAGCAAACAGGAUUAGAUACCCUGGUAGUCCACGCCCUAAAACGAUGUCAACUAGCUGUUGGGGCCUUCGGGCCUUGGUAGCGCAGCUAACGCGUGAAGUUGACCGCCUGGGGAGUACGGUCGCAAGAUU
rnacentral:rRNA from 1 species